rnacentral:rRNA from 1 species
UACGAAGGGGGCUAGCGUUGCUCGGAAUCACUGGGCGUAAAGCGCACGUAGGCGGACUCUUAAGUCGGUGGUGAAAUCCUGGAGCUCAACUCCAGAACUGCCUUCGAUACUGAGAGUCUCGAGUCCGGGAGAGGUGAGUGGAACUGCGAGUGUAGAGGUGAAAUUCGUAGAUAUUCGCAAGAACACCAGUGGCGAAGGCGGCUCACUGGCCCGGUACUGACGCUGAGGUGGCGAAAAGCGUGGGGAGCAAACAGG